rnacentral:rRNA from 1 species
CACGGGGGGAGCAAGCGUUGUUCGGAAUCACUGGGCGUAAAGGGCGUGUAGGCGGUCAAGUAAGUGGAAUGUGAAAUGCCUCGGCUCACCCGGGGACCUGCAUCCCAAACUGCUUGGCUUGAGUAUGGGAGAGGAUGAGGGAAUUCCUGGUGUAGCGGUGAAAUGCGUAGAUAUCAGGAGGAACACCGGUGGCGAAGGCGCUCAUCUGGCCCAAUACUGACGCUGAGGCGCGAAAGCUAGGGGAGCAAACGGG